ACAUGUCCGCAUGAUUAAAGGUAUUUUCCGGUAGACGAUGGGGAUGCGUUCCAUUAGAUAGUAGGCGGGGUAACGGCCCACCUAGUCAACGAUGGAUAGGGGUUCUGAGAGGAAGGUCCCCCACAUUGGAACUGAGACACGGUCCAAACUCCUACGGGAGGCAGCAGUGAGGAAUAUUGGUCAAUGGGCGAUGGCCUGAACCAGCCAAGUAGCGUGAAGGAUGACUGCCCUAUGGGUUGUAAACUUCUUUUAUAAAGGAAUAAAGUCGGGUAUGCAUACCCGUUUGCAUGUACUUUAUGAAUAAGGAUCGGCUAACUCCGUGCCAGCAGCCGCGGUAAUACGGAGGAUCCGAGCGUUAUCCGGAUUUAUUGGGUUUAAAGGGAGCGUAGAUGGAUGUUUAAGUCAGUUGUGAAAGUUUGCGGCUCAACCGUAAAAUUGCAGUUGAUACUGGAUGUCUUGAGUGCAGUUGAGGCAGGCGGAAUUCGUGGUGUAGCGGUGAAAUGCUUAGAUAUCACGAAGAACUCCGAUUGCGAAGGCAGCCUGCUAAGCUGCAACUGACAUUGAGGCUCGAAAGUGUGGGUAUCAAACAGGAUUAGAUACCCUGGUAGUCCACACGGUAAACGAUGAAUACUCGCUGUUUGCGAUAUACGGCAAGCG
rnacentral:rRNA from 1 species